CUCCACAACAGGCCAGCUGGCAACCUUUGGCCCAGUUACCCAUUUUAAGUCUUGAUCUCUCAUCUGCAAAUCAGGGAUGGUAAUAUUAACAGUACCUACCUCGUGGAGUUGUUUUGAGGAUUAGGAGCUCAGUAGAGUACUUCAUACUUAGUGAACACACAAUAAACACUAGCUCUUCUGCACGUUGGAGUUGUAUGGGUGAACGGUGGAAUCCAUGGACCAGCUAAGCAGCGUAAACUUCUAAGUCUCAACUUCUCAAGCAUCUAGCACCUCACAGGUUUGAAGUAAAAUCACCCCCGUACAUGGUUGUAUAUUCUUCGUUGUGGGUCCUUCUAGUUGUGGCAUGUGGGACGCUGCCUCAGCGUGGUUUGACGAGCAGUGCCAUGUCCGCGCCCAGGAUUCGAACCAACGAAACACUGGGCCGCCUGCAGCGGAGCGCGCGAACUUAACCACUCGGCCACGGGGCCAGCCCCUGCAAUUAAUAUUUUUAUCCGGCCCAAGAAUCCUCUACCUACGGCUGGCAGAUGAAGAAAAGAAAUCGGAGGAGGCACACUGUCUACAGGUGGAAAGUGGCAAAUUCAGGAUUCCAACCUUCAUUUUCUCACUUCAACGCCACCACUCCUAAC
rnacentral:lncRNA from 1 species